rnacentral:rRNA from 1 species
UACGAAGGGGGGCGAGCGUUGUUCGGAAUUACUGGGCGUAAAGGGUGCGUAGGCGGCUAAAUAAGUCAGUGGUGAAAGCCCGCAGCUCAACUGCGGAAUUGCCAUUGAAAACUGUCUAGCUUGAAUCUGGUUGAAGUGGGCGGAAUACAUCAUGUAGCGGUGAAAUGCUUAGAUAUGAUGUAGAACACCGAUUGCGAAGGCAGCUCACUAAGCCAACAAUUGACGCUGAGGCACGAAAGCGUGGGUAGCGAACAGG